CAAGCAUACAAAGUAAAAAAUGGCAUAUACAUAACUAAAAUAGGGUUAAAAUACCCUUAAAAGGUUGAUUACUGAAGAAAAAACCAGGAAGUUCUCAAGAUGGCCAGCAGAUGGGAAUAAAGGCCAGCAGAUGGGAAUAAAUGCCAGCAAAAAAUGAGUAGACUCCUUGAUUCUACGUUCUAAACCCUCAAAUGGUAGUUUCAAGAUAGUAUGGAACUGAAAUGGCACCUAAAUGGGUUUGAAGGUCAUAAAUUGUUUUCAGCAUUCUUCUUUUGAGGUUUAUUAUUGCUAGACUUUGGUUAUUCAUAGUUCUUGUGUUUAAAGUAGGAUAAAAGUCAAGUGACGUAAUGUUAUUGCAGCAUUACUGUUCAAUGGUAUUGCUACUGUGGCGAGUAAUGAUUCAAACUGUUGCAGCAUGACAUGUUCAUGCACUUGUAGCACCAAACUAAAUAAGUGUUUGGCCUUUUUAUUUAGAUGAAACUAAUGGUUCAUUUUGUUUAGAAAUGCAUCAUGAUUAUCUCCUUCCAAAGUUAACAGAUGAUCAUUAAGAAAUUGCAGUUUCAAGCUCUUGUUUAGAAAUUGCAGUUAAUGAGGGUGUAGUUUUUCCAUAGAAAACAGC
rnacentral:lncRNA from 1 species